rnacentral:rRNA from 1 species
CUCCCAAACCCCUGUGAACAUACCACUUGUUGCCUCGGCGGAUCAGCCCGCUCCCGGUAAAACGGGACGGCCCGCCAGAGGACCCCUAAACUCUGUUUCUAUAUGUAACUUCUGAGUAAAACCAUAAAUAAAUCAAAACUUUCAACAACGGAUCUCUUGGUUCUGGCAUCGAUGAAGAACGCAGCAAAAUGCGAUAAGUAAUGUGAAUUGCAGAAUUCAGUGAAUCAUCGAAUCUUUGAACGCACAUUGCGCCCGCCAGUAUUCUGGCGGGCAUGCCUGUUCGAGCGUCAUUUCAACCCUCAAGCACAGCUUGGUGUUGGGACUCGCGUUAAUUCGCGUUCCCCAAAUUGAUUGGCGGUCACGUCGAGCUUCCAUAGCGUAGUAGUAAAACCCUCGUUACUGGUAAUCGUCGCGGCCACGCCGUUAAACCCCAACUUCUGAAUGUUGACCUCGGAUCAGGUAGGAAUACCCGCUGAACUUAAGCAUAUCAAU